GUGCAGCAAGUGAGGUGAUGGGAGGCCUUUCGGCUGCCCGGCCAAUGGGAAGAGCUGUUGCUGCAGCUUGAUGGGAGGCCUUUCGGCUGCCCAGCCAUAGGGAAGAGCUGUUGCUGCAGCACCUUUUUCACCUUUUCAUUUCUCCCUUUUUUCCUUUUUUUUUUNAAUUAUGGCGUUGGCAGGUGGCAGGAUAGGGUGGCGUGGGUGGUGAUGUGAUCUAAGAGAAAAAGAUCUAAGUAAAAUCCUUCAAUGUUGAUUUCUCUGUAUUUGAAAUACAGGUUUCGCUUUUCUGCUAAAAUCGAUAAAGGCUAAAUUAAAUUCGUAGAUUUAAUUCAUUCGACAUUCUAAUUCUUAAAUUAAAUCCGUAGAUUUAAUUAACUUCAAAGUCGG
rnacentral:lncRNA from 1 species